CAGGGGAUUGCAGUGGCAAAGCUAGGCUAGGUCUUGGAGGCUGGUGUAAGGCGAUGCGGGUGAAGGCAGGAGGCUGAUGGAGAGACUGGGGGGAAGAAAAGCCGAAAUGGAUUCACGGUGCCUUGGAUGAAGGACGAGAGGGGAACUGCAAGCUCCUUCAACUGGUUCUGUCCGGUGAGAAGUGAUCAAGCUUGGGCUGACAAGAGGCUCAGGGAGCCCUCACGUUCUUUCGCUUUUUUACCUGCCAAUCAAACUGCUACAAGACAACACCCUGAUCUGGCAUGGACAUUCAUUACAGUCACCUGGAGUCACGGAAAUGACCAUGAUUGCCUGAACUUUCAUGACUUCUGUGGAUAACUGUGGUUGCAGAAAAGAGAAAACCUGGACCGUGAGGGACAUUUCACUCCCUGGGCUUUGGUACAUGGCCUCCCUACAGCGUUGGCUCAGCUCUAGCUACUUGGAAGGUCGUGGCAAUGCUGUCUCAGAAUGUCCAUUUCUAGAGUACAGAGAAGAAAUUCUAGCUUGACGUCCACGUGCAUUUGUCUGUGUUUCAGAGGAAAUUCCAAUUCUAAACUCUUGGAAGAAACAAUUUCUCGGCAUGCUGAAGAGAAUUGCUGUUUUUUGGCACCCGAAACACUUUUACCCGAGGGUUCUGAUUAUUUAAAUAAUUGGUAUGCUAUAACUAUUCUGGUUGACAGAAAUGUGGUUUAAUGUAGAUGAGUUGUAAAAACAUGAGACAAACAUGC
rnacentral:sRNA from 1 species